UACGUAGGGGGCAAGCGUUGUCCGGAAUUAUUGGGCGUAAAGCGCGCGCAGGCGGCUUUGUAAGUCUGGUGUUUAAUCUCGGGGCUCAACCCCGAUUCGCAUUGGAAACUGCAAGGCUCGAGGCCGGGAGAGGGUAGCGGAAUUCCCAGUGUAGCGGUGAAAUGCGUAGAUAUUGGGAGGAACACCGGUGGCGAAGGCGGCUACCUGGACCGGUUCUGACGCUGAUGCGCGAAAGCGUGGGGAGCAAACAGG
rnacentral:rRNA from 1 species